rnacentral:rRNA from 1 species
GACGAACGCUGGCGGCGUGCUUAACACAUGCAAGUCGAACGGAAAGGCCCUGCUUUUGUGGGGUGCUCGAGUGGCGAACGGGUGAGUAACACGUGAGUAACCUGCCCUUGACUUUGGGAUAACUUCAGGAAACUGGGGCUAAUACCGGAUAGGAGCUCCUGCUGCAUGGUGGGGGUUGGAAAGUUUCGGCGGUUGGGGAUGGACUCGCGGCUUAUCAGCUUGUUGGUGGGGUAGUGGCUUACCAAGGCUUUGACGGGUAGCCGGCCUGAGAGGGUGACCGGCCACAUUGGGACUGAGAUAUGGCCCAGACUCCUACGUGAGGCAGCAGUGGGGAAUAUUGCACAAUGGGCGGAAGCCUGAUGCAGCAACGCCGCGUGCGGGAUGACGGCCUUCGGGUUGUAAACCGCUUUCGCCUGUGACGAAGCGUGAGUGACGGUAAUGGGUAAAGAAGCACCGGCUAACUACGUG